rnacentral:rRNA from 1 species
CGAUUCUGGCUCAGGAUAAACGCUGGCGGCGUGCCUAACACAUGCAAGUCGAACGGACUUAGCUUGUAGCAAUACGAGGCGAAAGUUAGUGGCGGACGGGUGAGUAAUGCGUGAGCAACCUGCCCUUCGGAGGGGGACAACAGUUGGAAACGACUGCUAAUACCGCAUGACAUACGGAGAUGGCAUCAUCACCGUAUCAAAGAUUUAUCGCCGAAGGAUGGGCUCACGUCUGAUUAGUUAGUUGGCGGGGUAACGGCCCACCAAGACCGCGAUCAGUAGCCGGACUGAGAGGUUGAACGGCCACAUUGGGACUGAGAUACGGCCCAGACUCCUACGGGAGGCAGCAGUGGGGAAUAUUGGGCAAUGGGCGCAAAGCCUGACCCAGCAACGCCGCGUGAAGGAAGAAGGCUUUCGGGUUGUAAACUUCUUUUAAGAGGGACGAAGGACGUGACGGUACCUCUUGAAUAAGCCACGGCUAACUACGUGCCAGCAGCCGC